rnacentral:lncRNA from 12 species
AUGCUGUCUGUACAACGUAAUGACCUAUGGCUCCAUUUACAAGGCAUGUUAGACAGAAAGCCGCUUCUGGAGGCUCAAAGGACUCAAUUCCAUUUUUUCUUUUUGGUGCAGAUUGCUUUCUCUCCAGAGAGGCGAGUCUGUGAUUGGGACAUUUGUCAGGUAACACUACCAGGAGACGCAGCUGUGCUUCACUCCAGAACCGCAUCUGCGUGUUCUAUGCUGACCAAGGGGACAGCGGCUGGGGGAUUACGUUGAAGGCAAGAAAGCAUGAAGGACAGAGCUAAAGCCGUUGGAGCCAUAAAGCUACCCACAGCCGUGGACCCAGAGUUCCCCCAUCCUUGGUGUCUACCACUGCAAAUGAUCUUGGGAGCAGAAGACUGGAUGGCAGCACAUGGAGACCCAUGUGGCAAGCAUUUUCCUCACUGACUAUUGAGAUUGAGUGUAAGUUUAAGAUCACCUUUUUCAAAAUCUUUAUAUUUUAGUAGUUAGUAGAUUAGCCCAGUAUCACACUUUGCCCACAGAGAUGCCCAUACAAUCUACACAUUAUUCUAACGUUUUAUCUUUGUAAGAGUAGCAAACCAACAAACUAUGUGAGAUCAAACUGGACUCAAACUAGUGCUAUAUUUCUAGAAUCCUGCUUUGUGUUUUGUUGAGUGUGUAAAGGAAGAACAACAAAUAACUGC